ensembl:lncRNA
ACACAGGAGAAAAGCCUUUCCAAUGUUCCCAGUGUAUAAAGGGUUUUAGGUGGUCAGGGAGUCUGAAAAAGCAGGUGAGAAAACACAGGAGAAAGGCCUUUCCAACAUACUAAUACACAGGAGGAGAAGACAUACCACUGCCCUCAUUGUGAAAAGACAUUUACCCAGUCAGAGGACCUGAAAUCACAUGAGAGAAUCGUUCUGACUUGUGUUUUUGACUGAGAAUUUGUAGUUUUGUUUGGACUGUCAGACUUUAAUCCAUUGUUUGAAAGGGUUAAAAAUACACUGAAAACAUCCAAAAUACAUUCUGUAUUCCACUACAAUCUACAAUGCCAUGUAAAACAAGAUGACAUAGAGGUUAAAUAGUGUGCUUUAUCAAUGUAACAUAUUGUGACCCGUCCACUGUGGGGCUCUGUAGAGUUAUAAUAUCCAUAACAACUAGAGGUCAAACAGGGAAAUGGUUCACAUCGUUGUCUGUAUACCGCUGCAAUCUACAACGCCAUGUAAUGGUGAAUGUACACUAGAUAAAUAGCGGUAAAUUGCUGUGUGCCGCUUAGGCCGCCCGUUGUGACUCUGUCAAGAAUUCAGCAGAGCAAGUUUGUAUGAAGGUCUGGUUAUUAAAUGGGUACAUAGUUCAAUAGUAAUAUCCUCAAAAACACUCUGGUGACAAACUUUGCUGCCCUGUUUCCAAUUGCCCACAUGGCUGGGAGAACCUAUUCAAGUAAGUAAGUAAAUAGAUUUAGAAAAUUGUAAAAAAAAAAAAAAAAAAAAAAAAAAAAGCGAUGUAUUAUUUGUUAACUACAGUCCCUGCUAACUCAAAUGAGCUGCUAAAUGAGCUAUCUAGCCAACUUCAAAUACUGUAUAGAUAGAUAGCUGUCAUGCCCUGACCUUUAGUAUUCUUUGUUUUCUUUAUUGUUUUUGUUAGGUCAGGGUCUGACAUGGGUGAUGUAUGUGUUUUUGUACUGUCUAGGGGUUUUGUAGGUUUAUGGGGUUGUUUACUAUCUAGGUGUUUAUGUAUGUCUAUGGUUGCCUAGAUUGGUUCUCAAUUAGAGGCAGCUGUUUAUCGUUGUCUCUGAUUGGGAACCAUAUUUAGGCAGCCAUCUUUGGGUAUUUCGUGGGUUAUUGUCUAUGUGCCUGUACUAGUUUUAUAUCGCUUCACUUUCGGUUUGUUGUUUUUCUAUAGUUUGUUAAGUGUUCUUCGUCUUCAUUAAAAAGUAUUUAUUCUUAUCACGCUACGCUUUGGUCUCCUCUUUACGAUGAGCGUGACAGAAUAACCCACCAUAAAAGGACCAAGCAGCGUGAUAAGGAGGAACAGCGCUUUGUGGAAUCGAGGACUAGGGACGAAAUACUGGACGGUAAAACAUCCUGGACCUGGGAGGAGGUAAUGGCAGGGGACAAGACCCUGCCAUGGAAGCAGGUGGAGAGAGCACAGGAGGAACGGCGACGGUAUAUGGGUACAAGGCUAGCACGGAAGCCUGAGAGGCAGCCCCAAUAAUUUUUUGGGGGAGGGGCACACGAGGAGUUUGGCUAAGUCAGGUAGGAGAC